rnacentral:tRNA from 1 species
UCCCUGGUGGUCCAGUGGUUGGGACUCUGUGCUCUUACUCCUGAGGACCUUGGUUCAAUCCCUGGUUGGGGAA